UACGUAGGGUGCAAGCGUUGUCCGGAAUUAUUGGGCGUAAAGAGCUCGUAGGCGGUCUGUCGCGUCGGCUGUGAAAACCCGGGGCUCAACUCCGGGCUUGCGGGCGAUACGGGCAGGCUAGAGUUCGGUAGGGGAGACUGGAAUUCCUGGUGUAGCGGUGAAAUGCGCAGAUAUCAGGAGGAACACCGGUGGCGAAGGCGGGUCUCUGGGCCGAUACUGACGCUGAGGAGCGAAAGCGUGGGGAGCGAACAGG
rnacentral:rRNA from 1 species